GUUGCCUUUUGGUCAAGAUGUAGCCAAAACCAUGUCUGCUUGCAUAUCACCCUUCUCCCCACCAUGAAGAAAAUGAACUGAACCUCUGAAACUGUCACUGUCCAUCAUUUUGAUGAAGCCAAGGAAGCUGGAACUUCAAAGAGCUAGUCACAGAACAUCCACAAGUUCUGGUUGGUGUCCGAGAAGUUCAAGGCCAAGACAACAGCAGAUUUGAGCCUGGUGGAGAAGAUGAACCUUAAACCCCGUGACUAGCAGAAAAGGUUAUGAGGAGUGGCACCGAGACAUGGCUACACAAUAUAUUGGUCCCUGAGGGUCAAAGUCCCUCUGAAGUCCAGUGAGGCUUAUGGAACUUGAGGAAAAGAGGCCAGCUCUUGUUUUAUAGGCACUCACAGCCAGGAGCUGGAACUGCACGAAGCUCUGUAUGGAACAGAGGACACCUUGAUGUUUUCCUGCAUGGAUGUUAGGCAUCAUGUGCAUGCCUGGUACCUACAGAUGCCAGAAGACGGUGUCAGCUCCUCUGGAACUGGAGUUACAGAUGGUUGUGAUCUGUCAUGCCAGUGCUGGGAAUUGAUCCCAGGUGCUUUAGGAGGAGCAGCCAGUGCUCUAACCACUGGACAAUAUCUCCAGCCCACAAUCCAGAAGGUUCGUCACAGCUGCAAGACAGAUCCUGACAAUAUUGUGACCCUCCUGGAGGAAGGAAAGCCGGUUCUGUCUUGACAUCUUCUGCUGUCCUUGGAACUUUGAAGCUUGUUCUGGGCCCCUGAACACUGCUGGGGAGAGACAGCAGCACUGAAGAUGUAUAUAUGUGCCUCCUCCCAAUCAUUUGGAUCAUGGCUCUCAAUGACGAUCGAUCGACCAUCAAGAUGAGGAAGUAAACACGCUGUAAGAAAAUGAGUGUCUCUCUGUGGUUGUGAUACAUGUUCCGUCGGCUAAGACCAGCCUCAGCCUCUAACUCAGAGAUUCUGUCUUUGGCCAGAGGCCAUGGCCAUCAAUACUGCCUCUGGGCGCAUCUGUCCCCCAUCAGCCACUUACUGACUAAGGCCAGGGACAAAUGGCAAAUCUGAGGUCCGCUUGGGGCAGAGAGCUCUGCAUCAUGAUUACUGAGCUGUAGGACGUCUCUCCCUGACACUGACAUAUCACAGUGCUACUUGCAUUAACCCAGCCACCUGCCCGUAAGAGCCAAAUGACUAGCUGCCCUCCAUAGAGGUCACGUGCCACCAAGAUGCAUCGCACAUUUCACCCUUAGGUGCCUGCACACUGGGAGUUGAAAAUUUGUGUCCACUAAGUGACCACCUAGCUGAGAAAGGUCAGAGUGCAAACGUACCACCUUUACCUGCCAUAUGUCCUCGUGGGGAUUGGUUUGAUGUGGAAUGGGUCACCAGGAGGGGUCUUCACAUCCCAAGGUCUCUUCUCCUGACAGACCUGGGCUUUGUGACAGGAGGCAGCCCUGAUCUUCAGUUCCAAGGACAGUGAAGCCAUCACUGUCAGUGAUACCUCAGCUGUAAGGGACAGGCCCAAGAGCUAUCAGCUUUGUCUGUAGAAUGGAAGGUAGUGUAGAGGGCUUGGGGAGGAGUCAGGGAGGGCAUUGAGGCUAGGGGAGGUGAGAAUAGUGAGAGCUGUCACCAGGCUGCCAGGUAGAGAUGCCACUCGGCUGGGGAAAGAGUCAGAACUGGAACUGCAGAAGCAAGAGUUGCCCAUAUGGAGAGUGAGAGCCAGCAGUGGAUUGAAUCCAAGGGAGAGCUUCCAAACAGGGGAUGUCUGUAUUUGCUCACAGGGAGGAGAAAAACAUUGAUGGAGAUAGAUGAAGAGCCAUCGAGGAAGAAGGGUCCCGAGAAAACUUGCUCAUGAGUCUUCAAAGUGGAGGAACUGGCCGGUCAUUGAAAAUGCCACUGAGAGGGCAUAGGUGGCACCAGAUAUGAGCUUGGGGUGGGGCUGGCCACAGGCAGAAGGCUAUUCUUCCUGAGGUCCAGAGCAGGCUUGAGUGAAAGCAGCACAAUGCCCUAGGGUACAGCAAGGGUCCCAGAGAUGGUACCUGCUACCCUUGCAAGCUGUCUGCGGGCGAAGACAGCCCAUUCCCUCCCCUGAGAAGGCUGCAUUUACUUGAGAUUUAAUCAGGAGAGAAGGAUGGGCCUAAUUGAGUCUGUCUGGGGAGUCGGGCUCUCAGUGCCCCCUGCCGGCAGCUCAGCAGCUUUAUAGUAAUUGGCUGGGUGGGCACCUACUGUGUUAGCAGCUGUGCACUCAACUGUGCUGGCUGGGCCUCUUGCUCUGCCUGCUUUCAUGGAUUUCCUGUGCUAAUCCUAAUGGAAUAGCCAUUCUCUUCUCUCUCUCUGUGUGCUAUAGACAAAUAUUGGGCAGGCAUCUUCCUCACGGGCUGGGGCCUGGGGCACACAAUGCCCCUUCUUUCCUCUGGUUCUGCUGGGAGAAUGACUUUGCCAUGUUGCCAUGGUGCCCAAGCUGGGAGGAGGCUUGGGUAGGGCAGACUAGAGUCAGGUGUGAUGCUGGCCUUCCUGUCUCACACUGGUUUGAAUGAUGGUAUGAAGGCUGGAGCUUCAGCAGCCAUGGUGGAAAUUUAGGGGAAAUUAAACAUAGUGAGCAUAUUAGAGACAGGGCAGAGCAGGCCUUUCCCCCACAGUGAUGACAACAAGGCCACCUCUGGACUCACUUUCUACCCUGAUAUUUGGUAGAAGAUUGUUAUGGAAUAUUAGUUUAGGAUAUGUUACAUUUGUUUAUGCUGUGGAAUAUUUGUUUAAUGAUGCAAGAAUGUAUUUCAUUCUUUUAUGUUGCAUUUGUUUAACUCUAUAAAGCUGUGUUACUUUGUCUGUCUAAAAC
ensembl:lncRNA